GGCCUAACACAUGCAAGUCGAGCGGUAACAGGAAAGUGCUUUCACUUUUGCUGACGAGCGGCGGACGGGUGAGUAAUGUCUGGGGAUCUGCCCGAGGGCGGGGGAUAACCACUGGAAACGGUGGCUAAUACCGCAUAAUGUCGCGAGACCAAAGUGGGGGACCUGAAAGGGCCUCACGCCCUCGGAUGAACCCAGAUGGGAUUAGCUAGUCGGUAGGGUAAUGGCCUACCGAGGCGACGAUCCCUAGCUGGUCUGAGAGGAUGACCAGCCACACUGGGACUGAGACACGGCCCAGACUCCUACGGGAGGCAGCAGUGGGGAAUAUUGCACAAUGGGCGCAAGCCUGAUGCAGCCAUGCCGCGUGUAUGAAGAAGGCCUUCGGGUUGUAAAGUACUUUCAGCGGGGAGGAAGGGUUUAGCCUGAACAGGGUUGAAUUUUGACGUUACCCGCAGAAGAAGCACCGGCUAAC
rnacentral:rRNA from 1 species